rnacentral:rRNA from 1 species
CCUACGGGUUGCAGCAGGCGCGAAACUUCCGCAAUGCUCGACAGAGUGACGGAGGGAUUCCAAGUGCCUAUGCUAUGCGUAGGCUGUUUUUAUGUCUAAAUAACAUGGAGAGUAAGAGCUGGGUAAGACGGGUGCCAGCCGCCGCGGUAAUACCUGCAGCUCGAGUGGUAACCGCUAUUAUUGGGCCUAAAGCGUCCGUAGCCGGUUUGGUAAAUAUCUGGGUAAAUCGUGAGGCUUAACUUCACGAAUUUCGGAUAGACUGCCAGACUUGGGAUCGGGGGAGGUCAGAGGUACUCCAGGGGUAGCGGUGAAAUGUUGUAAUCCUUGGAGGACCACCGGUAGCGAAGGCGUCUGACUAGAACGAGUCCGACGGUGAGGGACGAAGCCCUGGGGCGCAAACCGGAUUAGAUA